GAGUAAAAGUUGGAUGGUACAUCAACGAGUAAAAUAUCAAUGAGAUAGUUGAUUGAAUGAGACGCGAAAAUCUGAAUUUAGUUCCCGCGUUCGAAAAUUACUAUCGUUCCGUUUUCGAAUACCGAAUAGUAUUACGGGUAUUAGGAUUGGCCGCGGCAUUCCCCGGAUCAGCCAAUCGAGGACUGCGACACAAACAGGAGCAUCGUCUUUUCUUUUUGUUGACGCAACUGCGCAGCUAAUUUUAGCAACACUCGCACUCAUACUCGGCCUGGAUCAUCCGACGCUUUCGCACGUAUUCCUAUUUCAUUCUCGGCAAGAGCGAUCGAAGGUCAACCGAGUAAAUUUGGAAUACGUAAUAUAAAUUAAUCGUCUUUCUUCAAACAUUUAUUUCCAGCGAUCGGAUCCAUUUCCGGCCAUUAAUCUAGUUGCUUCUAGUAAUUUCUAAUCUCUGGAAUUUGUCGAAUCCAAUCGGAAUUUGAAGUUUUUUGUUUUAAACAUGUCAAUUGCCAUCGAUGGGAAUGUUCAUUUUUGAAAGGUUGGCACGGCUGAUUUCGAAAUUCAGUACGGGAAGUGUUUGCGCGGGGUAUAACCAAGCUGCUUGUUACAUGUUCAACGUUUAAAUAAUUGACAUUAAGCGUUUAAUUAACACCAAAAUGGAUCUAAUUACACAUUAGGCGACUUUGUUUAUCGAGAUUAACCAGCGCGAUCUACGAUCCAGUCCUAGUACACGAGGCCAGAGAAGCUGACAACCGAGACAACGCUAUCUUUCUGGAAGAGGGGUGAGAGACACGUUUUAUGUUAAUUUUCUCGUAAAACGUUCAAAAAUCAUGCAGGAGACACAUUUAUUCAAUGUAUGACACAUAUCUGACGUGUGAAUAGAUAAUGCUUCGUGUAAUUAUCGUUUGAGAAAGAUUGAAAGUCAGUUAGAAUAUCAUCGACAAUUUUUUGACCAAGUAUUUUAUUCCAUUUGUCGCGUUAGAUGGUGGCACCACCUAUUUCUCUAUUCGUGAGAAUAAAAUACUGUUCGAUUGUAUUAACAGGUGUCUCUAGGGUCUGCGUCAGUAGAGCAAGUGUUUCGUCAGUCGGUAAUCACACAAAUGUAUACCGACAUUUUAUUUUAAAUAUGUACCUAUUUCCACCUCGAUCGAUCAAAUGACUGAUUCUACACACACUACUUUAUCUAUCGAAUGGAAAAAUAUUUCACUAAAUAUUUAUUUAUUACUAAAUCGAAUAAUACACGAAACAAUGGUAUAUUAUUUAUACAUUUUAUGUAAGAAAAUAAGCAAAAUUGAAAUGAUUUGAAAAUGGUCGUUAGCGUUAAUCGGAUACUCGGAUGUCCGUUGGAAUCGUUGAAGUCGAUAACAAUGGCAUACGCCAAUGGUCGCGUAACGUCGAGAAAAGGGGAAAAAUAAGAAAGCUCGGUGGUCGUGGUCGCAAACGAUGCGUCGUGACGUAAGAGUCCCGGAUUCGCGGUCGCUAUAUUUAGGCUGCCCGGGCCCCGGUCCGUUUUUAGUCGGAAACAGGUGGACAUCCAAGCUGUGCGAAGGCAGCAUAGCCGACGGGUCUCCGGUUGACUUUGACCGAUUUUCACCAACUCCCAUUGGAAUGGGCUCCUUUAUGCCGCGCACCGUCGCGUCGUGACGAUAAUGACCCAUUAAACGUCCGUCGCUGUUUUCCUCCAAUUUAUAGAAUUCUCUAUUUUUACUCGCGAGCGUGACAGUUACACCGCUUAAGAUAAUCGAACGAUCGACAGCCCAUACAAGGAUCUCGAGUACCUUAAAUCGCUCGAUAUCAAUGUCGCAAAUUUACUGCUUCGCGAGAACUUAACUUACAACUAGCAGAGUUAGUUAGUUUACUUUUCGUCACGAGUGCUUUUCAACGCGCGUCUACAGGCGUCUAACGAUACAUCAUCUCGUUAACCAUGGAUCCUCUAGAUAUCGAAACAGUUAGUAGCAAACAGUUGCGCGGAGUUUGUCACUCGGAAUACCGGAGUAGAAAUACGUUCCACCUGGAAAACGGGGUCAACCGCGUUCUUCUUGAUUUCAAGUACAACGUCCAUUCACAAAAUACGUUUUAUCGUCCCUCGUUUGGUUCAACUGCGUAUCGAGGUAGUUAGUUUGCGAGAAUUCGAUUUUUUUCUAAAAAUACAGCGAUGGUGGAAGCGAGACCGCGAUAGGAACUCGAAUCGGGGAGGCGGGUAUACAUCCCCAUCCGGACGCGUGUGUAAUCUAGAUGGCUUCUAAAAAUACACGCGGCGCGGUCAAGCAAAUCAUCUGGGGCGUAGGUCCAAAAACUGAAAUACGUCCCGACUGGCAUACCUUUUCAUAGGUACACAGACGCGUAGCUUUCUGCGCGUUCUACUUGGAUGCGUCAUCGUGGCGUUCGCAAAAUUGCAGUGAGAGCAAAAGAAUCGAAUAACCGAGGCAUUUGCCAGACUCUCGGUAGACACGUGGAUUUCUUCGGUGACAGGCGAUAGCGAUAGACGCACUUUCACCUGUCCUUUCCUUCUACCCUGGCUGAUAUUGACAUAGGUAACCUAUUGUUUGUAGCGGUUCGUCCUAUCGAUUCAUUGUAAAUUCGAGGAUUCAGUGUAUUCAGAGAUCACUAAUAAACCU